rnacentral:rRNA from 3 species
AAGGCGAGGCCGAAAGGCGUAGUCGAUGGGAAACGGGUUAAUAUUCCCGUACUUGGUGUUACUGCGAAGGGGGGACGGAGAAGGCUAUGUUGGCCGGGCGACGGUUGUCCCGGUUUAAGCGUGUAGGUGUGUGUUCCAGGUAAAUCCGGUUCACUUUAACACUGAGGCGUGACGACGAGGCACUACGGUGCUGAAGCAACAAAUGCCCUGCUUCCAGGAAAAGCCUCUAAGCAUCAGGUAACAUCAAAUCGUACCCCAAACCGACACAGGUGGUCAGGUAGAGAAUACCAAGGCGCUUGA